CAAGAACAAAGGGUAAACCGAAAAAAAUUUGAAACUCAAGACCUGGAAGAACCUCUGGGAGGUUCUGGAAACUACCAGGUGAAUCAUCCAUGCUUCGAUCCAUGCUGUGAUUUCCUGAGGCUUCUCCAGUCUUUCAGAUGACUCCUUAUCCACUCCGUUUACUGGAAAAAAAGGAGUUAAAACACAAGAAGAGCCCAUGGCUUCAGAUGAAGAGCAGAGAGAUUUCAACCUAGAGAAGAAAGGGUGAAGAAAGAAGAGAGUAGAGAUGCCAAAGACAAACUUUAACAACUCCACCAUUUUUUCCAAAGACAACUCUGUCCAGUUGGGGAUAUGUGUAGAUAUCUAGAAUCAAUGCCUACUCAGAUGUUGAGCUUAGGAGGAACUUGGGUCAAGAGGCAUGCAUAACAACUGUCAAAAAUCGAGGGUCCACAAGGUCCCAAGAGUCCCUGGUAUAUACGAGGCAUUCAAUAAAUACACCUUGAGUGAAUGUGUGAUAUAAUUAGGGUUAUGAGUUUUAGAGACCACUAUGGGUUAAAGUGGAGGAACAGAAGAGAAAAGAGAGAAAAGGAGAGAACCAGCAUUUAUUGAGUGCCUACUAUGUGCCAAGCACUAUUACUU
rnacentral:lncRNA from 1 species